GUGUUCACUUCGGUAGCACACAUACUGAAGUUGGAACCAUACAGAGAAAAAUUAGCAUGGCCUCUGCCCAAGGAUGGCACACAAAUUCAUGAAGUGUUCCAUAUUUUA
ensembl:snRNA U6 U6 spliceosomal RNA